CCUACGGGAGGCAGCAGUCGGGAAUUUUGCGCAAUGGACGAAAGUCUGACGCAGCAACGCCGCGUGAGGGAUGACGGCCUUCGGGUUGUAAACCUCUUUUCUCAGGGACGAUUAUGACGGUACCUGAGGAAUAAGCCACGGCUAACUACGUGCCAGCAGCCGCGGUAAUACGUAGGUGGCAAGCGUUGUCCGGAUUUACUGGGCGUAAAGAGCGCGCAGGCGGUCGUUCAAGUCGAGUGUGAAAGCCCCCGGCUCAACUGGGGAGGGUCACUCGAUACUGAUCGACUUGAAGGCGGGAGAGGGUAGUGGAAUUCCCGGUGUAGUGGUGAAAUGCGUAGAUAUCGGGAGGAACACCAGUGGCGAAGGCGACUACCUGGCCCGUUCUUGACGCUGAGGCGCGAAAGCUAGGGGAGCAAACGGGAUUAGAUACCCUUGUAGUC
rnacentral:rRNA from 1 species